UCUUAUCAUUUUUCCAUGCAUAUCCCUCCUCCACGUCCCACAAGUCAAGGUGCCACCAAUCAGAUUCCCUCCCUCUCAUUCUCGUCCACUCUCUUUCUCACUUGUGACUUUUCCUUCUUUUCUUCAUAAUAUCUUUCUCUCUUCUUCUUCUUCUGCAGACUUCUCUUUCUCUUCUUCUUUUCUUUUCUUUUAUUCCUUGCAACACUUUUUCCUCUUCCUUAGUUACAGCACCAUCUUCCUCUUUUUCUCCUUCUAAUACACAACAUCAUUUUUCCUUUCUUUUCAUUUCUUUUGGUGCAGCUCACCAAUUCUUUCCACUUAUUCUUCCUCUCUUUUCUUUCCCCUGAGCAGCAAAAAACGCACAUCAUGGUCCAUUUUCCUCCCUCACGUGAUUCCUCUCUUGUGCAGCACCAUCAUCUUCAUCUUCCAAUUUUAUGGGUACGAAGGACGAAAGCGCCUUGCGACGAAGCUAAAGAAUAGAAGGAAGCGAGCCGACGCGGAAAACAAAGAUGUGAUAGGAUUGGAGUUGCAGUUUAGGAAGAAAAUUGGCUAAGGCGAUGAAGAAUCUUCGAUGAAGGUUGACCUUCGUACGAGUUUGAGAUGAAGACUUGAAGAAUUAUGGAAGACUCAAAGAAUAGAGUCGGGUGUAGGGAUAAAGCCUUUGGUUAGAGAGCUUACCGUUAUUGGUUUAAGCUUGCAUAAUGAUUUUAUGAAUUUAUAUUUGAGGUUUCUAGUAGGUUCCGAUGCAUUGCUUUCCUGCGGUUGGUCGUAGGGAGUAUUUCGGAUUUAUGGUGUCAUUGCAUAAUAGGUUCUUUGUUGAGUUGUUUCUAUUGGUUAGGUUUUGUAGGUUGGGUGCUUUCGGGUACUUGCCUUAUUUAAGGCUCGAUGUAAAUUUAUUUACAGUUGAGAGUAUGCAUGACAUGUUUUGAAAAUACUUUGAGAAGAAAAAAUAAUACUUGUGUUUAUAAAUUCUUUUGGAAAACAUUGCAUAUUUACUUUAUCAGAUUGUUACUGUAACCCCUGAAAUUCGGGGCGUUACAUUGUGGUAUCAGAGCUUUGGUUGAGAAACCAGAGCUUGUUGGGGAAUAGGUAUUCUGUGUUAGGUUGUUUGAACUUUGUAAUUGAUCAGCUGGGUGUUGAUCGAUUGACAGAGUGUUACCAUAUAGAUAAUAUGAUUAAUUGUUUAUUUUGUCUACUAGUUGUUUCUUGUUGUUAUUGUUUUCUUGAACACUAACCCCUUAGCUUUUGACUAGAUGGUUAGUACCCCCACAAAAAUAUUAACUAUACUUGUUGUUUGCGUGCUUUGUUCAGUGAUCCAGGUAGAGACUAUAUGUUGUUGAACAGGGAAAGAAGUUUGCAUUAGGCACAUUCCUUUGACUGUUGUGUGCAUUCUAAUUAGGACAAUGGUAUAGGGUUUAGAGCAGUUUCUAAGUCUUAAAACUUGUUUUGGUACAGAUAUGUUAGUAAGGAAGAUAGAAGCUUAGAAUGAAUCGUAAGGGAGUGUUGUUUGAGUUCCAGGAACUAAGGUUGUACUUCUUCUAGAUGAAGUUGUUAGAAAUUGAGUAGAUUAAGAGAUGAUCUUAAUUUAGAUGUGACCACUUGCUGAGAUAGACUCAUUGACCUUACUAGUGAGUUUUUUCUGAAUUUUCUUCCGCAAGAUAUUGAGCCUGAUCAACUUAAUAUUGAGGGGUUGAUAUUUGGAAUCACAGCUGGCAUGGACUAUGAUAGGAGUAUUGAUUGGAUUUGAUCGAUGAUUAGUCGAGUUUGAGAGAUAAGUUUAUGAUAAGCACUUGAUUGUAGAGGAGUGAGAUUUAAAUCUUUGAAAGUUGACGAUUGUCGUAUAGUCGAUAAUUAGUGUCCGCAUGAUUACUCUAAGUAGAGGUAGACUAAGACAAAAGAUUCAAUGCUGGAGAGUCUUAAGUAUUCUUUCGAAAGUUAUAAAACCAUAGGCUAUGUGAUUUCGUGCUAAUUGCACUAAGAGACUAGACUUGAUGGAUUACCUCCUAGUUAUACUCUAGAGGUAUAAGUGCUGAUCAAGCAAAGAUUUUGGAUUUCUGAGGAACAUGUUAAGUUUGACGACUGAGAGUUACUAAGUUGAACUUGAAUCUUGGGGAUAAGAUUAACCUGGUGAGUUGAGAAUCACGUACGAGUACGAGAACUUAUGGUUGUAGGGGUGACAAUAGAAGUUGAAUCUUAGAAGAUUGAAGAUCCGAAGAUGAGUUUCGGGUUAAAUACAUUGAGGUAUAAUAUAAGAGUGAUCUUGAAGUAAAUGAAUUCUAAGAUGUGUAGAGUGUUAAGAUGGAUGAUAAGUUGAUGAUUUGAUUUGUGACUAAGAGAAAAGUUGAUUGGAUGGUUAUAAUGAGGAUAGUUUCAGAAAGAGAUGACAAUAAUGGAAUGUUAGAUAUUAAGAUGAUGAUAUGUCUGUUGAGACGCCGUCGGUCAGCAUUGGGGCUAGAAGGGUGAAACAAUCGAGGAGGAAGCAGAGUGCUUUAGUGAAAGUUAUUUGGAACAAAGACACGGACGGUGCUAUAUGGGAGUUAGAGGCAAAGGUCAGGGAAUAAUAUCCUGAGCUUUUUACUGAACUCUAAGUUUCGAGGACGAAACUUUCUUUUUGGAGGGUAGUAAUGUGAGACCCAAGUUUUUAAGCUUAGAAUAAAUUAAUUAAAUUCAUAUUCACGAUUAGGUUUCGAUGUAUCGUGAAGGGAACCUGAACAAGUGUUUAUCGAAUGGAAUGAACUUAUGAAGGAGAAAGUUCAGGAAAAGGCUAAGAAUAGUAUUAAAGUCGAUAUAAGUUAUAGCGUGACUCUUAUUCGCUUACGCCUAGGGCAAGAGCGUUAGUAAGCGAUUAAUUUACCCUCAAAUCACUGUAGGAACUAAUUCCAAAAAUCUUCAGAGGAAUGUUAGAAUUUCUCUUAAUCCUUUCUAUGACAAGCGUUUCGAUACGAAACCCUGAGACAUACGAACGUCCGAUUCCAAUUCUCGGAGGUUUGCCGAAACCAAAUCCCUGAUAGCUCAAGAAACCUAAAAUAAACGGUCGAUGAAGACUUUUUCUUUUCGGAGCUUCAAACGAAGAUUCCACACGCGUACACUGAUUUCUUUCGAUGUUUCUAACAUUUCUUCAGAAGGAAGUUUUCUCAUCCGACAUCAAUUGCAAAAAGUAGUUUUGCGGUAUAUUUUGAAGCAUACUGCGUUCAAGCCAUUUUCUCACUUAAAUGAAUCCGAUGCAAGUAUCGUCCUUUCUUGGAUCGAUACUUAGCUUAAUUGUAUAAUAUGACAACGUCAUAUUUGUUCUAAUUGUCUAACAAUUAUUCUUUAGCUUAAUUCUUACACAUUUUCUUAUCCAUGGAUCAUUUUAUUUUGCUCAAAGUAAUUCAAAUUUAUAUUUCAUUAUUUCACAGAGUUCCACAUAAUUUUUGAUAUAGUAAUAUAUCAUCCUUAUAUUUUUCUUUUAACUUUGUGAGCUAAAUUAUUCAGUGUCCAAAUUAAUUUGUACCGAUUAAUAAAUAUCUUCUCAUUUUUCCUUGGAUAUCCGUCCUCCACGUCCCACCAGUCAAGGUGUCACCAAUCAGAUUCCCUCCCUCUCAUUCUCGUCCACUCUCUUUCUCACUUGUGACUUUUCCUUCUUUUCUUCAUAAUAUCUUUCUCUCUUCUUCUUCUGCAGACUUCUCUUUCUCUUCUUCUUUUCUUUUCUUUUAUUCCUUGCAACACUUUUUCCUCUUCCUUAGUUACAGCACCAUCUUCCUCUUUUUCUCCUUCUAAUACACAACAUCAUUUUCACUUUCUUUUCAUUUCUUUUGCUGCAGCUCACCAAUUCUUUCCACUUAUUCUUCCUCUCUUUUCUUUCCCCUGAGCAGAAAAAACGCACAUCAUGGUCCAUUUUCCUCCCUCACGUGAUUCCUCUCUUGUGCAGCACCAUCAUCUUCAUCUUCCAAUUUUAUGAUAAAACUUCUUCUCUUUUCUUUGCUCAUCUUUUUAGUCAACCCUUUUAGUUUUCACACCUAGUAUCUUCAUUAAAGUUAGGACUAUGGAAAAGAUAUAGUGAACCAUGGUUUUCAUUUCCAAAAAGGUUGAGUUAUUAUCUUUGUAAAAAUUUUAAUUAGAGCUUUUUCCAAAGUGCUUUUAUAAAUGUUAUUUCCAAUCACUGGAUCUAUAGAUUUCACCGAUUAGUUUUCUAAAAAGUUGUUUUUAAAUGUUUAAAAUAACUUUGGAAGUGAUUUGGGGAAAAAGGAAAAUUUGUACAUGGUUAUGUAAGGGUGGCCGAGGCUAUGGCACAUAUUUUGGGUGUGAAAAAUUAAUUCUGAAACGUGUUUUUGUGUAGUGAAAAUCAUAAGAUAAGUUUGAGUACUAAAAAUUUAUUGUGGGAAAACUUUGGGCUGAAACACAAGAGGUUGAGAAGGUUUGGGUUAAACUUUAAUUAUAAAAGUACUGGGGUUUAUUUAAUAAAUUUAGUAAAGUUUGAGGGCUGAAAAAGAACUUACUUUUAUGUGAGGACCUUUUCGUGAUUAUGUGCUUGUCAAGGGACUAGGGCUGAAUUACUUAAAAGUUGAGGAGUUGUUUUCUAAAUGGGCAUUUAAAGGGGCCUUUCUUUAAAACUCACAAAUAUUUUAUCUUUGGACUUUAGUCCUUGAAACAUAAAGUUUGUGCAUUUAGCCUAAGUGAGCUAGAAAGAUUGGUUAAGUUUGUUCUGGAACUUUAGAUGUGACUUUAGAGGCUAAGGUUUAGUAUGUGAACUUGUGAAGGGUACGAAGGACGAAAGCGCCUUGCGACGAAGCUAAAGAAUAGAAGGAAGCGAGCCGACGCGGAAAACAUAGAUGUGAUAGGAUUGGAGUUGCAGUUUAGGAAGAAAAUUGGCUAAGGCGAUGGAGAAUCUUCGAUGAAGGUUGACCUUCGUACGAGUUUGAGAUGAGGACUUGAAGAAUUAUGGAAGACUCAAAGAAUAGAGUCGGGUGUAGGGAUAGAGCCUUGGGUUAGAGAGCUUACCGUUAUUGGUUUAAGCUUGCAUAAUGAUUUUAUGAAUUUAUAUUUGAGGUUUCGAGUAGGUUCCGAUGCAUUGCUUUCCUGCGGUUGGUCGUAGGGAGUAUUUCGGAUUUAUGGUGUCAUUGCAUAAUAGGUUCUUUGUUGAGUUGUUUCUAUUGGUUAGGUUUUGUAGGUUGGGUGCUUUCAGGUACUUGCCUUAUUUAAGGCUCGAUGUAAAUUUAUUUACAGUUGAGAGUAUGCAUGACAUGUUUUGAAAAUACUUUGAGAAGAAAAAAUAAUACUUGUGUUUAUAAAUCCUUUUGGAAAACAUUGCAUAUUUACUUUAUCAGAUUGUUACUGUAACCCCUGAAAUUCGGGGCGUUACAACAUGCCUCCAAACAGUAUAAGCCAACAAUGGCAAAACAGAAAACGUUACCAGAUAAAAGGGCCGUAAUAAGACUGCUAGGUUUUUUUUUCGCAGAAGCAGAACUCCCAAGAUCGGGAGCUCUGAUACCAACUUGAAAGUAGGAGAAACUGUAUUAUUAUUUCUUAAUCAGAAUACAAAGGGUAAUUACAUUAUAUAGAAGAAGACUAAUCCUAAAUAAGGAAAUAACUAAUUAUGUACACAAUCUCCUAAUAAGAAAAUAAAUCUCCUAAUACUGAAUAUAAUAUUCUAAUAAUAAUUCUUAUAUUAAUUCCUUAUUUACAACAAUACCAGUCCUCAAUAGGUCAUAUACUCCAUCGUCAUGUACAAACCCUUUUCCAUGAAUACUCUCUCGAAUUCCUGUAGCAGACUUGCUUCAACUUAAUAAAAUUCGAUGGUAGUUUAUGUU